UUGAGGAUGAUCUCCAGCAACCUAUAAGCAUAGUUCACACAGAACCUACUAACCAUGUUGACACACAUGCAUCUAACGUCUUUCGCUCCUAUCUGAACCCUUCC
rnacentral:snoRNA from 1 species